GGAAUUUUCCGCAAUGGGCGAAAGCCUGACGGAGCAACGCCGCGUGAGGGAUGAAGGCCUCUGGGCUGUAAACCUCUUUUAUCAAGGAAGAAGAUCUGACGGUACUUGAUGAAUAAGCCACGGCUAAUUCCGUGCCAGCAGCCGCGGUAAUACGGGAGUGGCAAGCGUUAUCCGGAAUUAUUGGGCGUAAAGCGUCCGCAGGCGGUCUUGUAAGUCUGUCGUUAAAGCGUGGAGCUUAACUCCAUUUGAGCGAUGGAAACUGCAAGACUAGAGUGUGGUAGGGGCAGAGGGAAUUCCCGGUGUAGCGGUGAAAUGCGUAGAUAUCGGGAAGAACACCAGUGGCGAAGGCGCUCUGCUGGGCCAUAACUGACGCUCAUGGACGAAAGCCAGGGGAGCGAAAGGGAUUAGAUACCCCUGUAGUCCUGGCCGUAAACGAUGAACACUAGGUGUCGGGGGAAUCGACCCCCUCGGUGUCGUAGCCAACGCGUUAAGUGUUCCGCCUGGGGAGUACGCACGCAAGUGUGAAACUCAAAUGAAUUGACGG
rnacentral:rRNA from 1 species